GCAAAACUUUCAAAGAGCUUUUGGAAGGCAUGAAUGGCACAACCUGCAUAGCUUGAGUAUUCUGUGGUUCAGCACAUGAAGUUGGAUAGGUUGGUUUUGCUGACUCAGCUUCCCAUCUUGAAAAGGAUGAAUUAGGGUGUCCAUAAAUAUUCCCUUGAGCAUUGUAGUUUGCGGGAACAGGGUUCGGGCCCGCGUGAUAAGUUGCAGGGGAACUAGGAACUGAUGCUGAUGCAGGGGCAGGAGGAGAAGCAUGUGAAGGGUGAUUUUCAGACAAACUCAUAUUUGCAACAAGAUCAUGUAUUGGUGGAUAAGCUGAAGGGCGAGUGGAGGAGUCAUCUUUACCAUAAUCAUAGCCUGCCCCAGAACUACUAAUAGAUGAAACACUAUCCUGGCGAUGGAGAGAGUCAUGAACUUUGGAUGGUUGGCUCUCCAAAGGCCUUUCUGGCCAGGAAUGUUGAUAAUGCUGAGGUGAAGCAUAAUGGUAACUGCCUUGAUGUUCAGAAGUAGGCACAGUAGAUGUUGGGGGAGGUGGAUAUGCAUGGGCUGGAUAGGGAGGAGAGGCACCAGGUGAUGCCGAAGGGUAACCAUACUCGAAAGAGCUGGAGUGAUGGAGAGUGGGCGCUGGAGGUGCUGAUGGAGCUGAUGGACCUGGUGGAUAGGGAUGAUAGUUAUAGCAUUUGAGUUGCGACUAUGGAUUAGGGGAAGGAAGGGUCUAAAGUUUUGAACUUUAUAGGUUCCCAGUUCGAGGAUCUAUCAGAAACAGUCUUUUAGAUGUAUACACUAGCCUUCCCAAACCUCACGUGUGGGAUUUUAUUGAGGUGGUUGUAGUUGUUAUUUGUAUUCGAAAUUCUACCAUAAGUCAUUUGAUUUACACCAUCGAGUGACCUAUGAUACGACUACGGUUUAAAGGAGGGUCCAUCAUUUAAGCUUUAUGUGUCUAG
rnacentral:misc_RNA from 1 species